rnacentral:rRNA from 1 species
UACAGAGGUCCCAAGCGUUGUUCGGAUUCACUGGGCGUAAAGGGUGCGUAGGUGGUGAGGUAAGUCGGAUGUGAAAUCUCCGAGCUCAACUCGGAAACUGCAUUGGAAACUACCUUGCUCGAGGGUUGGAGGGGGGACUGGAAUGCUUGGUGUAGCAGUGAAAUGCGUAGAUAUUGGGAGGAACACCAGUGGCGAAGGCGGCUACCUGGACCGGUUCUGACGCUGAUGCGCGAAAGCGUGGGUAGCAAACAGG